CAGCGCUCCGUGGAGAGUGCGAGGGCCUGUUCAGGAGGAGGCAGAGGCAGCCUUCAGAGCCAGGUUUUCCUCCCUCCACGGGUGGAUGGAGAGGGUAGGGCAGAUGCCCCAGGUGGGGUAGGCAGUGGCCAUUUUCAUCCCAUGGCAUCCAUGUGGUCAGCCCUGUGGCCUGAUGGGAGGCCAGACCAGAAGAAUGGGGACCUCAGUGUCUGCCUCUAUCUCCCCAAAAAGCUCCUGUGGUCAUUCCGACUCAAUUUGGCUAAUUUGGUUGUUGGCAGAGGGACAGGACAGCUGGCUCAGGACCUGCUGAUUAUAGCUGCUCGAGUAUUUGAACAGAGGUAUUGAGUCCCUCAUGUCAUGGUUUUUUCUUGCAGAUAAACUAACCGUUUAACCUUUGUUCUGAGCGCCGGCGGACCCGCUGUUAAUUGCCCUGGCCCCCUCUGUCUCCACCAACCUGCCCCCCAGGGGGGAGGUCACAUGAGGACCCCCCCAACUCUUACCUUUGAUGAAAGUGUUCAGCGGAUCUGGUCCUGUUGCGUCAGCCGGAAGGUGGCUUCUUUCUAAAAAGUUAUUAGAUAAAUUCAUUUCUUUAAUGAUGGAAGUCCAGGCUUGGGUGCGUGCGCGCAUCGUCCGCAGUAGCAAUCAAUCGGACACACCCGCAGCCUUCCCCUGUUUUUCCCACAGGACUCCAUCCCAAGGUGCCUUUUCCCACGUUGCUGCAUUCGGGUGCCCCCGUGAUAUUUCUUUGUACUGUGUGCCAGGCACUGUUUUAGUUCUUUUAAUCCUUAUAUCAACAUGUGUGUUACUUUUAUUACCUCAUUUUUCAGAAGGGGAAGCUAAGGCCCAGGGACAAACCUCAAACCACUCUUGGGUCCGACCUCACAUCUCUAAUGGGGACUGACCAAGGCGGCCCCUCCUUCAGGCCUCAGGGCCAGCAGGUGAACCCUGGUCCUCAUGGUCCUCCAGCCUUUGCCCUCUGACUCCUGAGCUCUGGACAAGCCCCCGCUUCCUGCCAGAGCCUCAUUUUGCUUCUCCAGCAAAUGCACAUAGGAAUUCCUCUGAGUCUGGGGCCUGGGCCUCAGGUGCAACCGCAAGUGGAUCUCUUAGCUCCCUGAGCUCCGGCUCCACCAGCAAUUGUGAGUGGCAUCUUCCCAGGUGGUGGUCUGUCCUUCACCUGGGACCCCUGUCGUGAGGACUUCAGUAAUAUUUUGUCUUGCCCCUGGUGUCAAUCUGCACUUGCCCUUCCCUCGUUUAGCACACAGUAGGGCUGUUGGCAGCAGGUGAGGCCUGAGGCAACAGCUCGGUGGCCAACAGCCCCGUGAGCACUUUCUCUUCUCCCCUCCCAGGUGGCGUGGAGGUGCAUCGGCGGCUUCCUACCGGGAAGGAAGCAGAUGCCUGGCCCAGGAUCAAAUCAAAGGUCUGGAAAAUGAUCUUUUUUUUCCCCUGAUUUGUAAAUUCGACAAUUUGUAAAUGUGUAGACUCCUCAGAAUGGAACUAACUUGAGCCCUUCGUUCCCCAGCCGAGGCUCACUGCCCCCCGGAUGGGCAGUGAGUCGGUGGGUUCCUGAGGCCAGGGAGCAGCCCAGCCCUGCCCCUCGGGAUGACACACCUUCCCAGAGGGGUGUGGCGCCCUCCCAGGCUGACCUCCCAGCAGACCAGGUAGCCUUCCGGAGGAGCGGAUGUCUUCACGUUGAAUUACCCCAGCCCGGAGGUGAGUGCAGUGUCCCUGGCUCCCGUGUUGCCUGCUUCUGAUGUUCCCUAACUGAAACCUGCCUCAUGUUCCUCCCUGGGCCGAUGGGCAGUUUCAGAGGACAGAGCUGUCUGCUCUGCGGCGCUGGUUGGCGUGUUCCAAACACUGUCCAGAUUCUUGCCUCUGCUUUCAAGGGGCGCUGGGACUCUAGAAACUGAGAGGACUUUGAGAAGUUAGUGGCUUGUCCCAGAUCGGCUAGGAGGUGGGACCCGGGAUUCCAACCCAGAAUGAAGGCCCCAGAGUCGGUCUAAUAAUACUCUGUUGGUGAUGAUCUUGGCUGUGACCUCUGCGGGAAAUGAGCCAUGGACCAAGCAGUGAUGAAUGCUCUAGAGCUGAUUAGCCAUUUUAUAAUGAUGAAUGGCUUCCCUCUGUGGGUAAGGAGCAUGGAGGCUGAUGUGAGUGACAGAGUUCUUGUUCUUGGUUUGGAUCCUUUGCUCAUGGAUGUUGACUGUAUAACCAAGAAACCAAUGGCUCCAUAUUUUGAUAAUAUCACAGGAGGCCAUGUGUGAACCAGCGAUGAGAGUGAUACGAACCAAGGAUUACGAUGAAUCCAAUUCAACACAACUUAAUCCUAUUAAAAAUACACUAUGGCCAUUUUAUUUAUGUUAUUCGCAUUUUAAUGUUCCAUAUUAAUUUUAUACCACUCUUGAUUUAAACAUUCCUCCAUUGAUAAAGAUUUAUGCUUGAGAGGGUAGCCCAUAGGAAGAUGGACAGAUAUUCUCAAUGUUCUAUUGUGGGAGAAGAUGGUGGGUUCAUAGUGGUUCAUUGAAUCAUCUUUGAAAUAUAGACGAAUUAAAAGAAAGAGGGCUAAGAACAGGCCAGUGAUGAGUGUGCGAGUGCUAUGGAGCAAGACUGUUGAUUGACUCAUGUUAUUGAUCAUUACAGAAAGACAUCUAGUGUAUUAUUUCUGUGGGAAAUUAUGCACAUGUGUUGUCCAGUACAGUGGCAACUAGCCACAGGUAGCUACUGUGCAUCUGGAAUGUGGCUGGUCUGAAUUGAUAUGUGAUCUAUGUGGAAAAUACACACCAAAUUUGGAAGAGUCAGAACAAAAAAUAAAAUAUUUCGUUAAUAGUUUAUAUUUAUUACAUGUUGAAAUGGAUAGUAUUUUAGAUAUAUUGGGUUAAAUAAAAUAUACAAUUGUAAUUGAUUUCACCUGUUUCUUUUUACUUUUAAAAAGUGUAGAUUCUAGAAAACUUAAAGUAUAUGAGUGGUGGGGCCGGCCCCAUGGUGUAGUGGUUAAGUUCAGUGUGCUCUGCUUCAGUGGCCCAAGAUGUGGGUUCAGAUCCUGGGUGCAGACUUACAUCACUUGCCAGCCAUGCUGUGGCGGUGACCCACAUAUAAAGUGGAGGAAGAUUGGCACAGAUGUUAGUUCAGGGCUAAUCUUCCUCAGCCAAAAAAAAAAAUAUAUAUAGAUAGAUAGAUAUCUAUCUAUCUAUCUAUAUAUAUAAGUGGCUUACAUUAUAUUUUUAUUGGCCAGCACAGCUAUAGACCAAUGAUAGGAAUAGUCAAGGAUCUUUUCCUUUGUGUUUUUCUGACCUAUGGGUGUUGAUAGCAUUUUUAUUAGCCAAUUAAUGGAUCAAUCAAUUAAAAGGGAAUGAAUAGGAAAAAGCAUACACUAAAUAUUAAGGUAUAUAUUGAAACAAGGAUUACUUUAAACAUUUUUUGAAACCUUGAAACCUGUAAAAAUAAUUUAAAGUGGUUAAUCCCUUUGGGUAAUGAACAUAUGAACAGAUGUGUGUAGUAAUCAAUGCUGUUGGUGUGUCGCUAGUCUUUUUUUCUUUUUUAAGAAAAUAAUCCACAUGGACAAAUCUCUAAUUAAAUAACUAAAUAGAAAAGAGUCAAGGAUGGCAAGUGCUGGGUGAGGACAGCAUAGAGGGCAAAGCUGUUGGUUGAUGCCUAUGGGCACCACUGAAAUCCACUGCAAACACUAUUAGUCUCAGUUCUGGGGAAAAUGAGCCUGUAGCCAGGGGUUAGGAACAUGAUGGGGUCCUAAUUGAGGCAUUUGAGGCUCAUGAAUUUUGAUUACCUUGUUGUGUAAAUGAAUCAAUGCAUAAAUUAAACAAAUGUAUAAAUGAAUGAAAAAAACAAAGGCAAGUGUGGACCAAUGAUAAGUGUAUAUAAUGAAGCAAGAAUUAUUAUUAAUAUGUUUUUGAAGCAAUGAAGUCCAUUUAAAAAAAAGGGCACUGAUGUCAAUUUCUAAGAAAGGGCAGAUUCUUAGAUAUUCUCAUAAUAGAUGUUUACGUAAAUAGGAAAAUUGAGGAGGACCAAUGUUAACAUUGUGUGAGAUGAUAAGAAUUAUAAUUAAUCCAGUUUAUUCCUUGAGUUCGUUAAACAGCAACAAAUAUCUAGUUGGUUAUCUCUGUAGAUAAUGAACAGGUUGACAGAUGUUAGUUUUAUUUAGAGUUUUUGACCAUUUGCUUCGGAUUCCAAGCUACAGAUUGUCAGGGAAUGAAUGAAUAAAUUUAUGUCACAGUCCGUUAGUUAAAAGGGGGCAAAUCAGUGACCAUCUGAUGAACAUAAGUUACAAAGCAAGUAUUAGGAUAAGUUCAGUCUUCGUUGCUGAUGUCCAUGAAGAGGACAUAAAGUCUAGGCUCCAACCUAUUUGUUUAAAGUUCACAGGUAGAUUCGUGUUAAGUUUUUGCGGAUAGUAGAUUUACUUUUUUUUUUGCCAAGGAAGAUUUGCCCUGAGCUAACAUCUUGCUAAUCUUCCUCUGUUUUGUAUGUGGGGUGCUGCCACAGCAUGGCUGCUGAUGGUCGUAUGGGUCUGCACCCGAGAUCUGAACCCAGGCUGCUGAAGCAGAGUGCACCAAACUUAACUACCCUGUGAGGCUGGCCCCUGGAUUUACUCUCGUUAAUUAUCUUCUAAGCAAUAGAUACAGGAUUAAAUUAAUUUGUAACUAAUCAAAUUAAAUAAUAAAUAAGCACAUAGAUAAAUACAUAAAGAGAGUCAAGAAUGAACACUGGAAAAAUGUGCCGUGAAACAAUUUUAGAUUAAUCCAACUUGGAACAAGUGAGGUCCAUCAAAGAAGGAAAAGAUGAAAGAAGGUACUUUAUUCAUUUUACAGUUGUUUAAUAUUUCGUUUUUCACCGCUGCUGAUUUACACAUUCCACCAGUGAUAAAGAUGUAGAUUUCUCACCUGUUGAGAGAGAAAACACAAGGAAAGAUGGAAGAUAGGGAAGUAAAUGAGACGUUCCUGGAUUUUCUUUGUUACGUGUUUAAAAUUUGAACAAAUUAAAGAAAGACUAAAGAACAGGGCCAAGCAUGGCUAUAAUGAGUGCGGGUUUGGAUAAAGAAUGUUGGCUGAUCCAUGUGUGCAGCAGUGAGGUCCACUGCGGUAAGAGGUCUCAUGUAUUCGUUCUGGGAGAAAUUUGCCAAAAGUCGGAAGUUAGUAAUAUUCUUGUAUCUUAUUCUUGCUUUGUUGUGAUUAAUGGAUAUUAAGUAAUUAUUAGUCAAUUAAUGCAUGAACUAAUGCACAAAUGUGUAAGUGAAUAAAGAAAAAAGUCCCAAGCCUGGAUCAAUGAUGAGUACCCUGGGGUGUCUGAACCAAGGAUUUUGAUUAAAAUCUGUAACUCUGACGUCCACUCUAAAAAUGAAUCUAAUUUCCUACCUUAAUGGGGCAUGAGCUUGUAGCUCCAGUUAGGAAUGCAGGCAUCUUGCUUUUGGCUUUGGUAGAUCUUAGGUAUGGAUCCUUUUAUUAGUGAACUAGGGCAUGAGUUAACAAGGAAACCUAUCAGUGAAUGCAGACAAAGCGGCCUGGAUAAGCUCUAAUUAUGAGAGUACGUAAUGAGAUAGGAAUUGUUAUUAGCACAGUGCUGAGGAGCCGAGGUCCAGUAUGCGAAGAGUGCAAGGCUUUUUCUGUGUCGAUUAGGAACGUGUGGGCAGAUGUAGGUAAGAGUCAGUGUUGUUUCUCGGUUGAUGGUUGUUAACUGUAUUAAGAAUUUUAUUAAGAAAAGGGGAAAAAGGAGAAACAUAACAAUCAAUUACAGAACUACCUAAUUAAAGACCAAGCAUGGGCCAAUGUUAAGAAUGCGUUAUAUGAGAGGAGUUACGAUUAAAUAAGUGCUCCUCAGUUAGCAUCGUUUUUGAAAAACACAUCUAGUUGUUUUUCUGUGGGCAUUGAGUUUAUGGGCAGAAGUUAGUGUUAUUUAGGACUCUUGCCCAGGGUAUGCUGGUUCACGAAUAUCGAUGAAGUGAAUGAAGGAAGUGAUUAUUUAAAGGAGGACAAACAUGGACCACUGAGGAUAGACUAUGUUGUUAAAAAAAGUUUAUUAAUCUCACUCUGCUCUUCUGAUGUCCAUAUAAAUAAAGGGGGACUGGGAUUCUGUGUGCUCUGGGUGAAGUGCAUCGAGACAGUUCCCUGUAGUUGUAUUUUAGACCAGUUUGCGUUUGAUUUGAAAAGAAUGAAAAUAUGAACAAGUUAUUGCAUGAGUAGAUAAAUACAAAACAAAUGAAAAAAUUUGUAAAGUAGGGUCAAGCAUGGAUCAUUGGUGAGACUAUGUCAAGACAGAAGGAUGUCAAUUUAUCCAAUUCUAAUCAAGGAAGACCCAUAAAGAAGAUGAUCUGGGCUCUUACCGCUGGAAGGUUUAAUGGACAGUUGGAACAGGCGUACUUCUCAGUUCCUCUGCUAGCAUGUAUAUCCAGCAACUGUCAUCAUAUCACAUUAAUUAACAUACAUUAACAUACAUUAAUAAUUAAAAUAAGUAAAAAGGGGACCAUUCUUAGGCUAAUGGAAUGGGAUGAAAACAGGGGUUUAUGAUAAAUCUGGUACAGCAGGACUAAGGUCUCUUAAAAAAAACUAAAUCUACACUGCUUUUUCAAUUUUCUAAAAUCUACUUUUUACUCCACAG
rnacentral:lncRNA from 1 species